UACGAAGGGGGCUAGCGUUGCUCGGAAUCACUGGGCGUAAAGGGUGCGUAGGCGGGUCUUUAAGUCAGGGGUGAAAUCCCUGGGCUCAACCCAGGAACUGCGUCCGAUACUGGUUGGCUUGAAUCCGGGAGAGGGAUGUGGAAUUCCAGGUGUAGCGGUGAAAUGCGUAGAUAUCUGGAGGAACACCGGUGGCGAAGGCGACAUCCUGGACCGGCAUUGACGCUGAGGCGCGAAAGCGUGGGUAGCAAACAGG
rnacentral:rRNA from 1 species